CCUACGGGUGGCUGCAGUAGGGCAUCUUCCACAUUGGGCGAAAGCCUGAUGCAGCAACGCCGCGUGGGUGAAGAAGGUCUUCGGAUCGUAAACCCCUGUUGUUAGAGAAGAAAGUGCGUGAGUGUAACUGUUCACGUUUCGACGGUAUCUUACCAGCAAGCGACGGCUAACUACGUGCCAGCAGCCGCGGUAAUACGUAGGUGGCAAGCGUUAUCCGGGUUUAUUGGGCGUAAAGGGCACGCAGGCGGGUUUAUAAGUCUGAUGUGAAAGCCUUCGGCUUAACCGGAGUAGUGCAUUGGAAACUGGGAUACUAGAGUGCAGAAGAGGAGAGUGGAACUCCUGGUGUAGCGGUGAAAUGCGUAGAUAUAUGGAAGAACACUAGUGGCGAAAGCGACUCUCUAGACUGUAACUGACGCUGAGGUUCGAAAGCGUGGGUAGCAAACAGGAUUAGAUACCCGUGUAGUC
rnacentral:rRNA from 1 species